rnacentral:rRNA from 1 species
GCAGAACGCUGGCGGCGUGCCUAAUACAUGCAAGUCGAGCGAACAGAGAAGGAGCUUGCUCCUUUGACGUUAGCGGCGGACGGGUGAGUAACACGUGGGCAACCUACCUUAUAGUUUGGGAUAACUCCGGGAAACCGGGGCUAAUACCGAAUAAUCUAUUUUACUUCAUGGUGAAAUACUGAAAGACGGUUUCGGCUGUCGCUAUAAGAUGGGCCCGCGGCGCAUUAGCUAGUUGGUGAGGUAACGGCUCACCAAGGCGACGAUGCGUAGCCGACCUGAGAGGGUGAUCGGCCACACUGGGACUGAGACACGGCCCAGACUCCUACGGGAGGCAGCAGUAGGGAAUCUUCCACAAUGGGCGAAAGCCUGAUGGAGCAACGCCGCGUGAGUGAAGAAGGUUUUCGGAUCGUAAAACUCUGUUGUAAGGGAAGAACAAGUACAGUAGUAACUGGCUGUACCUUGACGGUACCUUAUUAGAAAGCCACGGCUAACUACGUGCCAGCAGCCGCGGUAAUACGUAGGUGGCAAGCGUUGUCCGGAAUUAUUGGGCGUAAAGCGCGCGCAGGCGGUCCUUUAAGUCUGUGUGAAAGCCCACGGCUCAACCGUGGAGGGUCAUUGGAAACUGGGGGACUGGUCAAAAGAAUGAUUCAGU